rnacentral:lncRNA from 1 species
AUGAGCCAGGCACUGAUCCACAGGCUUUUGUACUCAACUCUGACAACAACCCUAAGAGGUAGCUAUCAUUAUAUCCCCCAUUUUAUUAAGAAGAAAACAAUAGCACAGAGAAGGGCUCAGGAGGCGGGGCCAGGGCGGGGCGUUGACUAUGUCGUAGCACGUGACCAGGCGGUGCUCGGACUCUGGGAGGCAGAGCUUAGGGCGGGCCGAUGUGGGGAGGGGCCCAGGGUCCGGGAGGCGGGUCCGAGUCUGGGCUGCGGGCUGCGCUCAGGAGGCGGGCCCUGGGGUAUGGCCAGGCGCUGCUCGGGCCCUGGGAGGCGGAGCUUAGGGAGGCGCCAGUGUCGGGAGGAACCCAGGGACUGGGAGCUGUUGUUCCCCACCAGAACCAAAUGAGCGCAAGAUCUGACAAAGAAAAAAAAGUCCCUGUAUCCUGAGAUGGAGUCACCUGAGAAUCCACAGCAAGUCCUAACCAGGGAUGGGUCUGCGUGGUUAAGGAAGGUUGGCUUCAGAACUGGGCCAGGGGCACUGCUUUGCUUUUGCUGUUUUGAUCAGCUCUCUGCCUGCAGGAGACAAGGAAAACCAAUGGGAACAG